rfam:Triticum aestivum genome assembly, contig: Triticum_aestivum_CS42_TGACv1_scaffold_578042_7BL
UUACUACUCCCUCCGUCCGAAAAAGCUUGUCCCUCAAAUUGAUGUAUCUAGCAUCAAGUUAGUGCUAGAUUCAUCUAUUUGAUGGACAAGCUUGGGACAAGUUUUUCCGGACGGAGGGAGUAUUAA